GUUGGUGAACCAGCGGAGGGAUCAUUAAAGAGUUGCAAAGCUCCUUAAAACCAUCUGUGAACUCGUCCGUCAGUGUUGCUUCGGUGGGUGGCCCCAGGGGGGGCCGUAGCCCGAACCCCUCUCCGGAGGGGGGACGGCGCCCGCCGGAAGUACGAAACUCUUCUGUAUUAUAGUGGUAUCUCUGAUUUAAACAAAUAAGUUAAAACUUUCAACAACGGAUCUCUUGGCUCUG
rnacentral:misc_RNA from 1 species